GGAUCUCAGGCGUCUCGGGGAUCAUCAUGUCACGAGAUACACUGUGCCCUUGUGACAGAUUGAUAACUGAAAGGUCUGGGAACC
ensembl:miRNA Mir542 microRNA mir-542